rnacentral:rRNA from 1 species
AGAGCUCAGAUUUGGAAUCGUGUUUCGGCACGAGUUGUAAAUUGCAGGUUGGAGUCUUUGUGGAAGCGUGUGUCCAAGUCCCUUGGAACAGGGCGCCAUUGAGGGUGAGAGCCCCGUGGGAUGCGCGCGGAAGCAACAAGGCCCUUCUGACGAGUCGAGUUGUUUGGGAAUGCAGCUCUAAGCGGGUGGUAAAUUCCAUCUAAGGCUAAAUACUGGCGAGAGACCGAUAGCGAACAAGUACUGUGAAGGAAAGAUGAAAAGCACUUUGAAAAGAGAGUGAAACAGCACGUGAAAUUGUUGAAAGGGAAGGGUAUUGGGCCCGACAUGGGGAUUGCGCAUCUCUGCUCCUUGUGGGCGGGGCGCUGUGCUUUUCCUGGGCCAGCAUCGGUUUUUGCCGCAGGAGAAGGGGUACUGGAAUGUGGCUCCUCGGAGUGUUAUAGCCAGUGCCAGAUGCUGCGUGCGGGGACCGAGGGCUGCGACAUCUGUCUCGGAUGCUGGCACAACGGCGCAAUACCGCCCGUCUUGAACCACGGGACCA